rnacentral:rRNA from 1 species
UACGAGAGGUCCAAACGUUAUUCGGAAUCACUGGGCUUACAGAGUUCGUAGGCGGUACGGAAAGUGGGGUGUGAAAGCCCUCGGCUCAACCGAGGAACUGCAUGGGAAACUGCGGAGCUUGAGUCCGGGAGAGGAGACUGGAAUUCCUGGUGUAGCGGUGAAAUGCGCAGAUAUCAGGAGGAACACCGGUGGCGAAGGCGGGUCUCUGGGCCGUAACUGACGCUGAGGAGCGAAAGCGUGGGGAGCGAACAGG